GACGAACGCUGGCGGCGUGCCUAAUACAUGCAAGUUGAGCGCUGAAGGAUGGUACUUGUACCCACUGGAUGAGCAGCGAACGGGUGAGUAACGCGUGGGGAAUCUGCCUUUGAGCGGGGGACAACAUUUGGAAACGAAUGCUAAUACCGCAUAAAAACUUUAAACACAAGUUUUAAGUUUGAAAGAUGCAAUUGCCUCACUCAAAGAUGAUCCCGCGUUGUAUUAGCUAGUUGGUGAGGUAAAGGCUCACCAAGGCGAUGAUACAUAGCCGACCUGAGAGGGUGAUCGGCCACAUUGGGACUGAGACACGGCCCAAACUCCUACGGGAGGCAGCAGUAGGGAAUCUUCGGCAAUGGACGAAAGUCUGACCGAGCAACGCCGCGUGAGUGAAGAAGGUUUUCGGAUCGUAAAACUCUGUUGGUAGAGAAGAACGUUGGUGAGAGUGGAAAGCUCAUCAAGUGACGGUAACUACCCAGAAAGGGACGGCUAACUACGUG
rnacentral:rRNA from 1 species